rnacentral:misc_RNA from 1 species
AAGUCGUAGCAAGGUUUCCGUAGGUGAACCUGCGGGAGGAUCAUUACAAAUUAUGGCGAACUUCGCGUCUCGCGAGGUUUUGCGUCCAAACUUUAUUUAAAACAUCCCACUCUUUAAAAAAAAGUUAUCUAAUGAUAAAUAAAAAGAUCA